rnacentral:rRNA from 1 species
UACGAAGGGGGCUAGCGUUGUUCGGAAUUACUGGGCGUAAAGCGCGCGCAGGCGGUCUUCCAAGUCAGUGGUGAAAGCCCGGAGCUCAACUCCGGAACUGCCAUUGAAACUGUUGGACUUGAGUACGAGAGAGGUGAGUGGAAUUCCCAGUGUAGAGGUGAAAUUCGUAGAUAUUGGGAAGAACACCGGUGGCGAAGGCGGGUCUCUGGACAGUUCCUGACACUGAGGCACGAAGGCCAGGGGAGCAAACGGG